GUUAUCUUGUCGGAGUGCCUAUUUUCCACACUGGAAAAGGCUGAGACCGUUAAUUCGGGAUCCGCGGAACCUGAUCAGGCUAAUACCUGCGAAGGGAACAAGAGUAAACUGCAA
rfam:Raoultella planticola strain GCSL-DIFS-295 CFSAN029441_contig0669, whole genome shotgun sequence.